UUUUUGUGAUGAGCUACACUUCUGUGGUCCGUGUUUCUGAUACUCCAUGAUAUGUGUAGGAGUUCUGAAUAA